rnacentral:rRNA from 1 species
GACGAACGCUGGCGGCGUGCCUAACACAUGCAAGUCAACUUGACUGAAGGAGCAAUCUGACAGUAGAGUGGCGCAAGGGUGCGUAACGCGUAAGUAACUUGCCCCAAGGUAAGGAAUAACGUCGAGAAAUCGGCGCUAAUACCUCAUAAUGCAGCGGAUCCGCAUGGAUAUGUUGUUAAAGGUUUACCGCCUUGGGAUAGGCUUGCGUCUGAUUAGCUAGUUGGUGUGGUAACGGCACACCAAGGCUACGAUCAGUAACUGGUCUGAGAGGAUGAUCAGUCACACUGGAACUGAGACACGGUCCAGACUCCUACGGGAGGCAGCAGUGAGGAAUAUUGGGCAAUGCUCGAAAGAGUGACCCAGCAACGCCGCGUGGAGGAUGAAGGUAUUCUAUAUCGUAAACUCCUGUGAGAGCAGACGAAAGACAGAUAUAAUACUGGAUGACUGUAUGCUCAGAGGAAG